rnacentral:rRNA from 1 species
ACUUUCAGCAACGGAUGUCUUGGUUCCCACAACGAUGAAGAACGCAGCGAAAUGCGAUACGUCAUGCGAAUUGCAUUACUUCGUGAGUCAUCAAAACUUUGAACGCAACUUGCACCCCUUUGGGGUAUAUCUGCUGGAGUAUUUGUUUUCUCCAACCAUCUCCCUCGUGGGGAUAGCGCCCGCCGUAGUCUGCUCCCUCGGGAGCGGCUCCGGCGCAGAUGAAAACACAUUGUAUCUCGCAGCGCAGCUCUGAAAGGAGCGGCUCGGACAAUGCCACCACCACAUGUACGUGAUCGGGCCGCGUCAGCGGUUCUCAUUCUACGUGUAGCGGCGGGCGGUCACUCCAAACGAGUCGCUUCGUGCCUCACGGCGUCAGCGGCGCGACUGCACCUGAUUUCAGAUCUCCAGUCAGAUAAGAUUACCCGCUGAAUUUAAGCAUAUAACUAAGCGGAGGAAAAGAAACUAACAAGGAUUCCCCUAGUAACUGCGAGUGAAGCGGGAAGUGCUCAGACUGAAAAUCUUCGGAGUUGUAGUCUGUAGAAGCCAAGUCAGUUGAGAGGCGAGGAGAAAGUCUCCUGGAAUGGAGCGCCGAGGAGGGUGAAAGCCCCGUUUAUCUCUUCGCGUCUGACGUACGACUGGUUUUCAACGAGUCGAGUUGUUUGGGAUUGCAGCUCUAAUCGGGUGGUAAAUUCCAUCUAAAGCUAAAUAUUGGUGGGAGACCGAUAGUGAACAAGUACCGUGAGGGAAAGAUGAAAAGAACUUUGAAAAGAGAGUUAAACAGUACCUGAAAUUGCUGAAAAGGAACCGAUGGGAGUUAGUGUUGUGAUUCGGUACAAGUACCGGGUUUCAAGUCAAGCUUUCUUGGGGACGCAAGAAAAGGCGCGGGACCUGUAUGGGCCAGCGGACCUGUUGUGCUUCCGAGAGACUUUGGCAAAAUAGCUCUUAUCAACCCGUCUUGAAACACGGACCAAGGAGUCUGACAUAUGUGCGAGUGCUCGGGGUUUAUCCCCCAGCGCGUAAUGAAAGUAAAAGUGUAACUUUGGUUCGCUUAGGUAGGAUGUCUUCGGACAGCACUAUCGACCGACCAUGAUCUCUUGAGAGAAAGGUUUGAGUGUGAGCAUAUAUGUCGGGACCCGAAAGAUGGUGAACUAUGCCUGGCCAGGACGAAGCCAGGGGAAACUCUGGUGGAGGUCCGUAGCGAUUCUAACGUGCAAAUUGAUCGUCGAACUUGGGUAUAGCGGCGAAAGACUAAUCGAACCAUCUAGUAGCUGGUUCCUCCCGAAAUUUCCCUCAGGAUAGCUGCAACCGAACAGUUUUAUCAGGUAAAGCGAAUGAUUAGAGGCCUCAGGGGUGAAACGUCCUUGACCUAUUCUCAAACUUUAAAUGGGUAAGAGCCUUGAGUUGCUUAAUUGAACUCGAUGGUCGAAUGACGGUUGCUAGUGGGCCAGUCUGGGUAAGCUAGACUGGCGAUGCGGGAUGAACCGAACGUUAAGUUAAAGUGCCAAAAUAUCCGCUAACCUAGAUCCCACAAAAGGUGUUGGUUCAUUAAGACAGCAGGACGGUGGCCAUGGAAGUCGGAAACCGCUAAGGAGUGUGUAACAACUCACCUGCCGAAUGAACUAGCACUGAAAAUGGAUGGCGCUUAAGCGGAUUACUUAUACUUAACCAACAUAAUAAAUGCGAAAUUAUGUUGAGUAGGGAGGCGUGGAACUUGUAGUGAAUUCUAUGACGUAAGUCAAGAUGAAACAGGUUCUAGUGCAGAUCUUGGUAGUAGUAGCAAAUAUUCAAAUGAGAACUUUGAAGACUGAAGUGGAGAAAGGUUCCAUGUGAACAGUAAUUGGACAUGGGUGAGUCGAUCCUAAGAGAUAGGAAAAUUCUAUUUGAAAGU